rnacentral:tRNA from 2 species
UGGGGUGUAGCCAAGCGGUAAGGCAGCGGUUUUUGGUACCGUGUAUCGGAGGUUCGAAUCCUUCCACCCCAA